GGGAAGGUAGCUCAGUGGUAGAGCGCUUGCCUUGAAUGCAUGAGGUCCUGGGUUUGGUUCCUUAGCACCA
rfam:Dipodomys ordii contig_60507, whole genome shotgun sequence.